rnacentral:rRNA from 1 species
GACGAACGCUGGCGGCGUGCCUAAUACAUGCAAGUAGAACGCUGAAGGAGGAGCUUGCUCUUCUGGAUGAGUUGCGAACGGGUGAGUAACGCGUAGGUAACCUGCCUGGUAGCGGGGGAUAACUAUUGGAAACGAUAGCUAAUACCGCAUAACAGUAGAUGUUGCAUGACAUUUGCUUAAAAGGUGCAAUUGCAUCACUACCAGAUGGACCUGCGUUGUAUUAGCUAGUUGGUGGGGUAACGGCUCACCAAGGCGACGAUACAUAGCCGACCUGAGAGGGUGAUCGGCCACACUGGGACUGAGACACGGCCCAGACUCCUACGGGAGGCAGCAGUAGGGGAUCUUCGGCAAUGGACGGAAGUCUGACCGAGCAACGCCGCGUGAGUGAAGAAGGGUGUCGGAUCGUAAAGCUCGGUUGUAAGAGAAGAACGAGUGUGAGAGUGGAAAGUUCACACUGUGACGGUAUCUUACCAGAAAGGGACGGCUAACUACGUG